GAACGCUGGCGGCGUGCUUAACACAUGCAAGUCGAACGUGAUUAGAGAGCUUGCUCUCUAUGAAAGUGGCGCACGGGUGAGUAACGCGUGGAUAACCUGCCCUGGUAUCUGGGAUAACACUCCGAAAGGGGUGCUAAUACCGGAUAAGCCCACGGGCUCUUCGGAGCUUGCGGGAAAAGGUGGCCUCUGUAUAUGCUACUGUAUCAGGAUGGGUCCGCGUACCAUUAGCUAGUUGGUGGUGUAAUGGACCACCAAGGCGACGAUGGUUAGCUGGUCUGAGAGGAUGAUCAGCCACACUGGAACUGAGACACGGUCCAGACUCCUACGGGAGGCAGCAGUGGGGAAUUUUGCGCAGUGGGGGAAACCCUGACGCAGCAACGCCGCGUGAGUGAUGAAGGCCUUCGGGUCGUAAAGCUCUGUCAGUGGGGAAGAAAUGGAACGUGCUAAUACCACGUUUUCUUGACGGUACCCACAAAGGAAGCACCGGCUAACUCCGUGCCAGCAGCCGCGGUAAUACGGAGGGUGCAAGCGUUGUUCGGAUUUAUUGGGCGUAAAGCGCGUGUAGGCGGUUUCUUAAGUCUGAUGUGAAAGCCCCGGGCUCAACCCGGGAAGUGCAUUGGAUACUGGGAGACUUGAAUACGGGAGAGGGUAGUGGAAUUCCUAGUGUAGGAGUGAAAUCCGUAGAUAUUAGGAGGAACACCGGUGGCGAAGGCGGCUACCUGGACCGAUAUUGACGCUGAGACGCGAAAGCGUGGGGAGCAAACA
rnacentral:rRNA from 1 species